CUGGGGAACCUCAUGGCCUUCACUGGCUGUGGGGGGAACCAGGACUUUUACUGUGAAAAAUUAGAGUGUUCAAGCAGCCUUUGCUCGAUACAUUAGCAUGAUAAUAGAUAGACGUGCGUUCUAUUUUGUGUUUCUAGACCGCCGUAUGAUAUAGAUAGUCGGGGCGUCAGUAUUCAGGCGUCCAGGGUGACUCUUGAAUUGUGAGAUCAAGUGAAUGCGGAAGCAUCGACAAGGAUUUUUCAUUAUCAUGGCACGAAAGUUAGGGGAUCGAGACGAUCAGAUACCGUCGUAGUCUUAUCCAUAAACUAUGCCGAGUAGCGCUCGGGCGGUGUUUAUAUGAUGACCCGCUCGGCACAUUACG
rnacentral:rRNA from 1 species